AUUCAGAAUACUAAUGCUGAAAGCUGAUCCCUUUAUUCAGCACGAAAAAAUAAAAAGCUGUACUGAUUUCAACUUAAAUUAGACCACAACAAGGCGACGUCAAAAAUUUCGGAAAAAAAAUUGUAGAGUUUUAAAGACCAUUCGAUAUUUGUCAGGAUAUUGGUUGUGUAGUUUUGUAUUUUGCUCAAUUGAAGCACUUUGUUUUAAAAUCUGUAAAAAAAGAAUUAGAAAAAUACCUGGUAUCUCCCGAACAUGAUGCAAUAAAUCUCAGUCAUCCAUAAGCUUUCUAAAUUCUCAACUAACACGAGUCUUAACCAAUCUAAUAGAAAAGCGUAAGCGACUAGACAAAGGGCUGCUUGAGAUUCUCUCUCGUACGAAUUCUGAAUUGAAAUUCAAUUAUUCAACAGCAACGAGUUUUCAUGGAUGGAAACCCGUUUAAAACAUCCGCGUUGGGCCGAACAUAAAUUAAUAAGAAACACAUCCCGGCAAAACCGCAUGUCAACUUUUAAUAUAAAUAUUUUUUUUCUAACAAUUCUCCAACAGUACUGUUACUGGGUUAGUUGGGUAAAGUCGCGUCCGUAAGAAAGUUUAAGAAUGCGUUCCUCCCGAAAGCUGCUACUUGUUGCAAGCUGCAUUUUGCUUCUGGUUACAACCGGCAAUGGAACUCCACAAAGUUAUCUUGAACUGGGUGGCGACUUUGGAGUUGAAACAAGCCUGGACCAGGUCCUCCGCCAGCAGCGACAGGCGUGCCGGGCCAAUUCCGAUUGUUGGCGCGUUUGCCAGGAACCGCAAGCCAUUUGUUCCAGAGGAAGAUGCAUCUGUCCACCACCAUAAAAUUUAAAAAGUGUGAUAGUUUACUAAACUGUGGAAAGUGGAAAUUAUGAAAAGAAUAUAAAUUAUGUUUUCUAAAACUCCCGAACCAACAUCGAACGUUGGUUCCAAUUUA